ACAAUUAGGGCCUGAUCCAAAGCCCAUUCAAGUCCAUGAGAGUUUUUCCAUUGACUUCAAUGGGCUUCAGAUCAAACCCUUAAUGA
rnacentral:pre_miRNA from 1 species